rnacentral:rRNA from 1 species
AUUGAACGCUGGCGGCAUGCCUUACACAUGCAAGUCGAACGAGUGGCGAACGGGUGAGUAACGCAUCGGAACGUACCUAGUAAUGGGGGAUAACUGUCCGAAACGACAGCUAAUACCGCAUAUUAUUCGAGCGGCCGAUGUCUGAUUAGCUGGUUGGGGGGGUAAAGGCGCACCAAGGCGACGAUCCGUAGCGGGUCUGAGAGGAUGAUCGGCCACACUGGGACUGAGACACGGCCCAGACUCCUACGGGAGGCAGCAGUGGGGAAUUGUGGACAAUGGGCGAAAGCCUGAUCCAGCCAUGCCGCGUGUGUGAAGAAGGCCUUCGGGUUGUAAAGGACUGUUAGCAGGGAAGCGGUACCUGAAGAAUAAGCACCGGCUAACUACGUGCCAGCAGCCGCGGUAAUUC